CUGCAGGGAAUGGUGGUGGAGUAGGUGUGAGUCAAGGACGGCCAGGAUCCGGGGCAGGGCCGGCCAAAUCGUGGCGGGCGGCGGAUUUCGACAAUACAGGGACAUCAACGGCAAGCACUGCUGGUUUUAAGACUCCAAGCUACUAUUUUAGUAAAAUAUUUGAUGUGCUAAAACAAUAAUGCGGAGAGAAGUCGUUUCUCCAAUGAAAAAUAAUAGCUCAAGAAGGUGAUUUCAGAUCUUCCUUGUGAGGUACUUCAAAAAUGGCUGAGGUGCGUUGAAUUUUAUGGAAUGAAUUCCUAGGCACCAACAGAAGGAUUUGUGCAAUGGUGUAACAAGUUUGGUGUUGAAAAUAGCGUUUAUUUCUGUGAUGUUUCAUUCGUGAAGGAUGCCAAUGAUGCACAAUGAGGAGAUGGUUGGGCCUUGUGGUGUGCUUACGACAGCAGCUCUCCUGUCAGUGCGGUGUUCUCGGCUGUAGUAGGGCGACCUUGCCAGCAAACUCGCCAUCUCUUUCCCUAGGUUCAGCAAUGUAUGCCAAAUGCAUACUACUCGGCAUGCCAUCUUAUUUGUUGCUUUUAUGAUGUAACAUGUGCUCUAGGUGAAUUAGUACAGAUACAAAUAAUAUAGUAUUUUUACUCAUGAACAAGUACUCAUUUUUUUUUAGUUUGGCUGCAACCCUGUGCUUGCUUGUUUUGCGAUU